UGGGGAAUUUUGGACAAUGGGGGAAACCCUGAUCCAGCCAUCCCGCGUGUGCGAUGAAGGCCUUCGGGUUGUAAAGCACUUUUGGCAGGAAAGAAACGUCGUGGGUUAAUACCCCGCGAAACUGACGGUACCUGCAGAAUAAGCACCGGCUAACUACGUGCCAGCAGCCGCGGUAAUACGUAGGGUGCAAGCGUUAAUCGGAAUUACUGGGCGUAAAGCGUGCGCAGGCGGUUCGGAAAGAAAGAUGUGAAAUCCCAGAGCUUAACUUUGGGAACUGCAUUUUUAACUACCGGGCUAGAGUGUGUCAGAGGGAGGUGGAAUUCCGCGUGUAGCAGUGAAAUGCGUAGAUAUGCGGAGGAACACCGAUGGCGAAGGCAGCCUCCUGGGAUAACACUGACGCUCAUGCACGAAAGCGUGGGGAGCAAACAGGAUUAGAUACCCUGGUAGUCCACGCCCUAAACGAUGUCAACUAGCUGUUGGGGUCUUCGGACCUUGGUAGCGCAGCUAACGCGUGAAGUUGGACCGCCUGGGGAGUACGGUCGCAAGAUUAAAAACUCAAAUG
rnacentral:rRNA from 1 species